rnacentral:rRNA from 1 species
AUUGCAGGCUGCAACUCGCCUGCAUGAAGUUGGAAUUGCUAGUAAUCGCGAAUCAGAAUGUCGCGGUGAAUACGUUCCCGGGCCUUGUACACACCGCCCGUCACACCAUGAGAGUCGAUAACACCCGAAGCCUGUGAGCUAACCUUUUAGGAGGCAGCAGUCGAAGGUGGGGGUUGAUGAUUGGGGUGAAGUCGUAACAAGGUAAC